GGGCUGUUAGCUCAGUUGGUAGAGCAGCGGACUUUUAAUCCGUUUGUCACAGGUUCGAACCCCGUACAGCCCA
rnacentral:tRNA from 1 species